GAUGAACGCUAGCGGGAGGCCUGACACAUGCAAGCCGAGCGGUAUUGUUUCUUCGGAAAUGAGAGAGCGGCGUACGAGUGCGUAACACGUGUGCAACCUGCCUUUAUCUGGGGGAUAGCCUUUCGAAAGGAAGAUUAAUACUCCAUAAUAUAUUGAACGGCAUCGUUUAAUAUUGAAAGCUCCGGCGGAUAGAGAUGGGCACGCGCAAGAUUAGCUAGUUGGUGAGGUAACGGCUCACCAAGGCGAUGAUCUUUAGGGGGCCUGAGAGGGUGAUCCCCCACACUGGUACUGAGACACGGACCAGACUCCUACGGGAGGCAGCAGUGAGGAAUAUUGGUCAAUGGGUGCAAGCCUGAACCAGCCAUCCCGCGUGAAGGACGACUGCCCUAUGGGUUGUAAACUUCUUUUGUAUAGGGAUAAACCUACCCUCGAGAGGGUAGCUGAAGGUACUAUACGAAUAAGCACCGGCUAACUCCGUG
rnacentral:rRNA from 1 species